AGUCGAGCGGCAGCGGGAAGUAGCUUGCUACUUUGCCGGCGAGCGGCGGACGGGUGAGUAAUGUCUGGGAAACUGCCUGAUGGAGGGGGAUAACUACUGGAAACGGUAGCUAAUACCGCAUGACCUCGCAAGAGCAAAGUGGGGGACCUUCGGGCCUCACGCCAUCGGAUGUGCCCAGAUGGGAUUAGCUAGUAGGUGAGGUAAUGGCUCACCUAGGCGACGAUCCCUAGCUGGUCUGAGAGGAUGACCAGCCACACUGGAACUGAGACACGGUCCAGACUCCUACGGGAGGCAGCAGUGGGGAAUAUUGCACAAUGGGCGCAAGCCUGAUGCAGCCAUGCCGCGUGUGUGAAGAAGGCCUUAGGGUUGUAAAGCACUUUCAGCGAGGAGGAAGGGUUCAGUGUUAAUAGCACUGUUCAUUGACGUUACUCGCAGAAGAAGCACCGGCUAACUCCGUGCCAGCAGCCGCGGUAAUACGGAGGGUGCAAGCGUUAAUCGGAAUUACUGGGCGUAAAGCGCACGCAGGCGGUUUGUUAAGUCAGAUGUGAAAUCCCCGAGCUUAACUUGGGAACUGCAUUUGAAACUGGCAAGCUAGAGUCUUGUAGAGGGGGGUAGAAUUCCAGGUGUAGCGGUG
rnacentral:rRNA from 1 species